UACGUAGGGGGCAAGCGUUGUUCGGAAUUACUGGGCGUAAAGGGCGCGUAGGCGGCACGGCAAGUCGGGAGUGAAAGGCCUGGGCUCAACCGAGGAACUGCUUUCGAGACUGCCGAGCUAGAGUGCGGAAGGGGCAACUGGAAUUCCCAGUGUAGCGGUGAAAUGCGUAGAUAUUGGGAAGAACACCUGAGGCGAAGGCGGGUUGCGUGGCCGACACUGACGCUGAGGAACGAAAGCCAGGGGAGCGAACGGG
rnacentral:rRNA from 1 species